rnacentral:rRNA from 1 species
CCCCUUAGAUGUUCGGGGCCGCACGCGCGCUACACUGAAGGAAUCAGCACGUCUUUCUCCUUGUCCGAAAGGACUGGGUAACCCGCUGAACCUCCUUCGUGCUAGGGAUUGGGGCUUGUAAUUCUUCCCCAUGAACGAGGAAUUCCCAGUAAGCGCGAGUCAUAAGCUCGCGUUGAUUACGUCCCUGCCCUUUGUACACACCGCCCGUCGCUACUACCGAUUGGAUGGUUUAGUGAGAUCCUCGGAUUGGUCCCGGAGCGGCCUCUGGUCGUGCCGGAGUGCCGAAAAGAAUGUCGAACUUGAUCAUCUAGAGGAAGUAAAAGUCGUAACA